CGGUAGGUCAGCGGUGCUGUAGGUCAGCGGUACGGUAGGUCAGCGGUACGGUAGGUCAGCGGUGCGGUAGGUCAGCGGUGCGGUAGGUCAGCGGUGCUGUAGGUCAGCGGUGCGGUAGGUCAGCGGUGCGGUAGGUCAGCGGUGCGGUAGGUCAGCGGUGCGGUAGGUCAGCGGUGCGGUAGGUCAGCGGUGCGGUAGGUCAGCGGUGCGGUAGGUCAGCGGUGCGGUAGGUCAGCGGUGCGGUAGGUCAGCGGUGCGGUAGGUCAGCGGUGCGGUAGGUCAGCGGGUGCGGUAGGUCAGCGGUGCGGUAGGUCAGCGGUGCGGUAGGUCAGCGGUGCGGUAGGUCAGCGGUGCGGUAGGUCAGCGGUGCUGUAGGUCAGCGGUGCGGUAGGUCAGCGGUGCGGUAGGUCAGCGGUGCUGUAGGUCAGCGGUGCUGUAGGUCAGCGGUACGGUAGGUCAGCGGUGCUGUAGGUCAGCGGGUACGGUAGGUCAGCGGUGCUGUAGGUCAGCGGUACUGUAGGUCAGCGGUACUGUAGGUCAGCGGUACGGUAGGUCAGCGGUGCGGUAGGUCAGCGGUGCGGUAGGUCAGUGGUACGGUAGGUCAGCGGGUGCUGUAGGUCAGCGGGUGCUGUAGGUCAGCGGUACGGUAGGUCAGUGGUACGGUAGGUCAGCGGUACUGUAGGUCAGCGGUACGGUAGGUCAGAGACACCUGCGGAGACGUGGGCUGGGGUUAAAAAUAUAAUACAAAACACAUCACGACAAGAGAGACACCACAACACUACAUAAAGAGAGACCUAAGACAACAACACAGCGUGGUAGCAACACAGCGUGGUAGCAACACAGCGUGGUAGCAACACAGCGUGGUAGGAGAACAAAACAUGGUAUAAACAUUAUUGGGCCCAGACAACAGCACAAAGGCAAGAAGGUAGAGACAACAAUACAUCAGGCGAAGCAGCCUGUCAGUAAGAGUCUCCAUGAUUGAGUCUGAAUAAAGAUGGGUCUAUAGUCUACCAUUCCUUUUGAGGGUCUUCUGCCAACAUCAUUAUGGGAUAAAAGAUGUUUGAUUUGAGCAGUGUGGGGGUCUUCUGCCAACAUCAUUAUGGGAUAAAAGGUGCGUUUGAUUUGAGCAGUGUGGGGGUCUUCUGCCAACAUCAUUAUGGGAUAAAAGGUGUGUUUGAUUUGAGCAGUGUGGGGGUCUUCUGCCAACAUCAUUAUGGGAUAAAAGGUGUGUUUGAUUUGAGCAGUGUGGGGGUCUUCUGCCAACAUCAUUAUGGGAUAAAAGGUGCGUUUGAUUUGAGCAGUGUGGGGGUCUUCUGCCAACAUCAUUAUGGGAUAAAAGGUGCGUUUGAUUUGAGCAGUGUGGGGGUCUUCUGCCAACAUCAUUAUGGGAUAAAAGGUGUGUUUGAUUUGAGCAGUGUGGGGGUCUUCUGCCAACAU